rfam:Triticum aestivum genome assembly, contig: Triticum_aestivum_CS42_TGACv1_scaffold_592083_7BS
AAUUUUCUCCCUCCAUCCAAAAAUACUUGUCGGAAAUUGAUCGAAAUGGAUGUAUCUAAAACUAAAUAUGUCUAGAUACAUUCAUUUCUCCGACGAGUAUUUUCGGACGGAGGGAGUACUAC